UUCAGUAGUAUAGGGUUUAUUGACCUAUGUUCGUUUUUGUGCUGCAGCUUAAGAUGCCGUUGACUCGUUCGCAAGCCGCCGGGGCAGCUGAGGCGGCGGAUGCAGAGGAAGUGGGGACUUCUGCUACUUCAGGAUCUAGUGGGAUCCAUGAGUUGCAGGAUCAGCUCGCGAAGCUGACAAAUUUGGUUGCUCAGCAGGCUGCGGCCGCGCGACAGCAGAUGGAUGUAGCGCGUCGGCAGGAGGACAGGAUGAAGAGGUUAGAGGAUUUAUUACUGCGACAGACGACUGACAGGGGGAUUCCGGAUCCUAUACCUACAGUACCGGGCAGGGAUGCGACAGUG
rnacentral:lncRNA from 1 species